rnacentral:rRNA from 1 species
GGCGACACCGCGCGGAACCCAAAAGCCGUUCUCAGUUCGGAUCGGAGUCUGCAACCCGACUCCGUGAAGCUGGAUUCGCUAGUAAUCGCGCAUCAGCCAUGGCGCGGUGAAUACGUUCCCGGGCCUUGUACACACCGCCCGUCAAGCCAUGGGAGCCGGGGUGCUUGAAGUGCGUCGCCGCAAGGCGCGCCCUAGAGCAAAACCGGUGACUGGGGCUAAGUCGUAACAAGGUAAC